UACGAAGGGGGCUAGCGUUGCUCGGAAUCACUGGGCGUAAAGCGCGCGUAGGCGGAUCGUUAAGUCGGGGGUGAAAUCCUGGAGCUCAACUCCAGAACUGCCUUUGAUACUGGCGAUCUUGAGUCCGGGAGAGGUGAGUGGAACUGCGAGUGUAGAGGUGAAAUUCGUAGAUAUUCGCAAGAACACCAGUGGCGAAGGCGGCUCACUGGCCCGGUACUGACGCUGAGGUGCGAAAGCGUGGGGAGCAAACAGGG
rnacentral:rRNA from 1 species